rnacentral:lncRNA from 1 species
UAAUAUUUUCAUAAGCGACGGUAUUUAUACAAGUGAAGGUGUUUUCCUAGAAUGAGUUGUUUCAUCUUGGUUGCCAACUCUAAUGCCCAAGGUGAGAGGGUGACAGAUGCAGCCUGGAGAGUCCAAUAAUCAAUCCUCAAUUCAGUGAUGCUGAAGCGUGCUUUUCUCUGUUACUAACAGCCAGUCUAUUUGUUCCUCUUCACUGCUUGGUUGAGAGUUUGAUGGUGGAACCACUCGGAAUUGAAUUUAGUUGCUUCAGGUAGACCUCAAUGUUGCUGUUGCCUCCAUCAAAGGCAGAGGUUUUGGGAAAACAGGUCAAUAGUGGACAGUGGGAAAAGUCCUUUCACUUGUUUCUGCUGCCACUGCUUGUAUGGAAG